rnacentral:lncRNA from 1 species
UGCUAGUCUCUGCAGCUCUGAAGUAAAGUAGCCUGGCUUGCCUGACACUCUUGGUACAAAAUCUUCUCCAGCUGAGGCUCCUGCCAAGAGGAGGAGUCAGGAAGACAACUUGCACUAGAGGGAAUUUGCACGUGGACUGAAAGUGGUCAGAAAGGAGGUGUGGGCUCUGACAUCCAGCAUGGCCAGACACCAGCCAAAUCAAGCCAGAGGAUAACAUGGAAAGGAGAGAAACUCCAGAUCUAUAGAGUCCAAUCCAGGCACUUUUCAUUAGCACUGUCGCCGUGAUGCCAAAGGGAAAGCUAAGAGAGCUGCUUACUAACUAGCAAGAACAACAAGAAAGCAUCAGACUUGGUAAUUGGUUAGAGAUAGUACCCUGGGAAGAUGGGGACAAAAGGCAGUGAACUGUAACCAGCUACACACUCCAAGGUAACAGGCAGUCAGCACUGGAUUAGCAACCAAGGCAACUUUAAUAAUUUAACUA